GGAGUUGUGGCUCAGUGGUAGAGUGCUUGCCUCACAUGUGUGAGGCACUGGGUUCAAUUCUCAGCACCA
rnacentral:tRNA from 1 species